AUGGAUCCCUCCGGAUCCAGCUCCCGCCACGGGCGCCUCCUCAUCUCGCCCUCGGUGUCAACCCCGACCUUCUCCUCCACCCGCGCCCCGUCCUCGUCCCCGUCGCCGCACCACGACCGCCGCAACUCCACCUCCUCCCCCAAGCCCCUCCUCCCCUUCCCGCCCCCCGCCUCCAGGCCGCACUCGUCCGGCCCCGCCGCCGGGCCCCGCGCCGCCGCGUCCGCCUCGCUCCCGGGCUUUGCGCACAACGCGCGCGUCGCGGCGGCGCUCGCGCCCGCCGCGGCCUUCCUCCUCGACCUCGGCGGGGCCCCCGUCCUCGCCGUCCUCGCCGUCGGGCUCGCCGCCGCCUACGCCCUCGACGCGCUGCGGCUCCGGCAGGGCGCCUUCUUCACCGUGUGGGCGGCGCUGCUCGCCGCCGACGUGGCCUUCUUCUUCUCGGCGUCCCUCUCGUCCGCCGCCGCCGCCUCGCUGCCCCUCACCGUCCUCGCGCUGCUCCUCUGCGCGGAGACCUCCUUCCUCAUAGGCGUCUGGGCGUCGCUCCAGUUCCGCUGGAUCCAGCUUGAGAACCCUACCAUCGUCGCGGCGCUCGAGCGGCUCCUCUUCGCGUGCGUGCCUAUCGCCGCAUCUGCGGUCUUCACAUGGGCAGUCGUGUCCGCAGUCGGGAUGGCCAAUGCUUCCUACUACCUUGCCACAUUUGCCAUGGUCUUCUAUUGGCUCUUCUCCGUGCCCCGCACUUCCAGCUUCAAGAACCGGAAACAGGACGCUCCAUUGCAGGACAGUGAUGGCAUUCUUGGCCCCUUGGAGAGCUGCGUGCAUGCGUUGUAUCUGUUGUUUGUGCCAGUGCUGUUCCAUGCCGCAUCCAACCACACCACACUCUUCGCAUCAUGGGCCAAUGUUUGUGAUCUUCUGCUGCUGUUCUUCGUACCAUUCUUGUUCCUGCUCUACGCGUCCACUCGUGGUUCACUGUGGUGGAUUACCAGGGAUUCACGCACAAUGGAUCAGAUAAGGAUGGCGAAUGGCUUGGUUGCACUUGUUAUAGUGGUGCUCUGCCUGGAGGUUCGCGUUGUAUUUCACGCUUUUGGAAGGUACAUUCAUGCUCCCCCGCCGCUGAAUUACCUGCUUGUGACUGUCACGAUGCUUGGUGGUGCUUUGGGUCUGGCUGCGCAUGCUGCUGGCAAGGUUGGAGAUGCUGUUAGCUCGGUGGCGUUUAUGGGGUUGGCAGUGCUUGUCAGUGGAGCAGGUGCCGUAGUCAUUGGUUUUCCGCUUGUGUUCCUUCCACUCCCAAUGAUGUCUGGUUAUUAUGUGGCAAGGUUCUUUACCAAGAAAAGCCUGUCAUCAUACUUCACCUUUGUGGGAAUAUCAAGCUUGAUGGUCCUUUGGUUUGUGGUGCAUAACUACUGGGAUCUAAAUAUUUGGGUUGCUGGCAUGCCAUUGAAAUCGUUUACCAAGUACAUUGUUGCAGCUGUAAUCAUGGCAAUGGCUGUUCCUGGUUUGGCACUGCUCCCUGCAAAACUGCGCUUUCUUGUGGAACUUGGUCUUAUUGGUCAUGCACUGUUGUUAUGCUACAUUGAGAACCGACUCUUCAACUAUGCUGCCAUGUACUACUUUGGGUUUGAGGAUGAUAUCAUUUAUCCAAGUUAUAUGGUUUUGAUCACAACAUUUUUUGGAUUGGCUCUUGUAAGAAGAUUAUCUGUUGACCAGAGAGUUGGGCCCAAAGCUACUUGGAUCUUGACUUGUCUCUAUUCUUCAAAGUUAUCUAUGUUGUUUAUCACAUCAAGAUCGGUGGUAUGGGUUUCAGCCGUUCUGCUACUUGCUGUCACACCCCCUGUACUUCUUUACAGGGACAAGUCCAAAGGGGGGGCUCCAAGGAUGAAGAUCUGGCAAGCUUAUUUUCAUGCAUCUGUAGUAGCCUUUUCUGCAUGGCUCUGCCGGGAAACAGUUUUCGAAGCUUUACAGUGGUGGAACGGAAGGCCUCCUUCAGAUGGUCUGCUUUUGGGGUCAUAUAUUUUGUUGUCUGGUGUUGCUUGCAUCCCAAUAGUGGCGCUCCAUUUCCCUCAUGCUCAGUCAGCAAAGAGAUUCCUGGUGCUUGUUGUGGCCACAGGGCUUCUUUUCGUUAUUAUGCAGCCUCCUGUUAAACUGUCAUGGGUAUACCGGUCGGAGCUGAUCAGAGCAGCACAUUUAUCUGAUGAUGACACGUCAAUAUAUGGUUUUGUAGCAUCCAAGCCCACAUGGCCAUCAUGGCUGCUCAUAGCAACAGUGGUACUUACAUUAGCAGCUGCUACAUCUAUCAUCCCAGUGAAGUAUAUUGUUGAGUUGAGGGCUUUGUAUGCAGUGGGAGUUGGAAUUACACUAGGCAUCUACAUAUCUGUCCAGUACUUCUUCCAAGCAGUUGUUCUGUAUCCUCUUCUUGUUGCGACAAUCGUCUGUGCUGCAGUCUUUAUAGUAUUCACACAUCUCCCAUCUGAGUCCAGCACAAGGGUUUUGCCAUGGGUGUUUUCUUUGUUAGUAGCUUUGUUCCCAGUCACCUACCUGCUGGAAGGACAGUUAAGGGCCAACAGUUUUGCAGAAGAGGAGGAAGCAGAGAAGUUCACCAACAUGUUGGCUAUAGAAGGGGCCAGAAUGUCGCUUUUGGGUCUCUAUGCUGCUAUAUUCAUGAUCAUUGCACUAGAAAUUAAGUUUGAACUGGCUUUGCUGUUGCAUGAUAAAGCCGCAGAUGUUACACAUGGUGUAUCUGGUGGUCGGGGCUCUGCAUUUCCACCCAAAGCAAGGCUACUGCAGCAACGGAGAUCUCAUGCUGCACCAACUUUCACCAUCAAGAGAUUGGCAGCGGAAGCAGCUUGGAUGCCUGCGAUCGGCAACUUGUCUACGGUUUUGUGCUUCAUCAUCUGCCUUGUUCUCAACGUAACACUUACUGGUGGCUCGAACCGUGCUAUUUUCUUCCUAGCGCCCAUCCUUCUGCUUUUGAACCAGGAUUCAGACAUCGUUGCAGGAUUCGGUGACAGACAGCGUUACUUCCCUGUGACAAUUUCUAUUUCUGGGUAUUUGCUAUUGGCAUCAUUGUAUAAGAUAUGGGAGGAGGCUUGGCCUGGCACUGGCAGUGGAGGAUGGGCUCUUGAUAUCGGGGGCUCAGUUUGGCUCUAUGCUGUGAAAAAUGUUGCUCUUCUCGUGCUCACGCUACCCAAUCACAUACUCUUCAAUCGGUUCAUGUGGGACUAUGUCAGGCAGACCGAUUCGAAGCUACUUCUGACACUGCCUCUCAACCUGCCAUCGAUUAUAAUGACAGAUGUACUUUCUGUGCGGGUUUUAGGGCUGUUGGGAGCUAUUUAUUCUCUAGCACAGUACCUGAUAUCAAGGCGGAUAAGAAUUGCUGGGAUGAAAUAUAUUUGA
rnacentral:rRNA from 1 species